AGAACCUGAAACCGUGUGCCUACAACAAGUCAAAGCCCGUUAAUGGGUGAUGGCGUGCCUUUUGUAGAAUGAACCGGCGAGUUACGAUUGCAUGCGAGGUUAAGUCGAAGAGACGGAGCCGUAGCGAAAGCGAGUCUGAAUAGGGCGUUUGAGUAUGUAGUCGUAGACCCGAAACCAUGUGAUCUACCCAUGUCCAGGUUGAAGGUGCGGUAAAACGCACUGGAGGACCGAACCCACGUACGUUGAAAAGUGCGGGGAUGAGGUGUGGGUAGCGGAGAAAUUCCAAACGAACUUGGAGAUAGCUGGUUCUCUCCGAAAUAGCUUUAGGGCUAGCCUCGGAAUUGAGAAUGAUGGAGGUAGAGCACUGUUUGGACUAGGGGCCCAUCUCGGGUUACCGAAUUCAGAUAAACUCCGAAUGCCAUUCAUUCAUAUCCGGGAGUCAGACUGUGAGUGAUAAGAUCCAUAGUCGAAAGGGAAACAGCCCAGACCACCAGCUAAGGUCCCAAAAUAUAUGUUAAGUGGAAAAGGAUGUGGGGUUGCACAGACAACUAGGAUGUUGGCUCAGAAGCAGCCACCAUUUAAAGAGUGCGUAAUAGCUCACUAGUCGAGUGACCCUGCGCCGAAAAUGUACCGGGGCUAAACAUAUUACCGAAGCUGUGGAUAACACCUAUGGUGUUAUGGUAGGAGAGCGUUCUAAGGGCGUUGAAGGUAGAUCGUGAGGACUGCUGGAGCGCUUAGAAGUGAGAAUGCCGGUAUGAGUAGCGAAAGACAGGUGAGAAUCCUGUCCACCGAAUGACUAAGGUUUCCUGGGGAAGGCUCGUCCGCCCAGGGUUAGUCGGGACCUAAGCCGAGGCCGAAAGGCGUAGGCGAUGGAUAACAGGUUGAUAUUCCUGUACCCGUUGUUUUUGUUUGAGCAAUGGAGGGACGCAGGAGGCUAAGGAAUGCAGACGAUUGGAAAUGUCUGUCCAAGCAGUAAGUCUUAGGUUGAGUCAAAUGCUUAAUCUUUUAAGGACAAGCUGUGAUGGGGAGGGAAAUAAUAGUACCGAAGUUCCUGAUGUCACACUGCCAAGAAAAGCUUCUAGUGAGAAAACAACGGCCCGUACCGCAAACCGACACAGGUAGUCGAGGAGAGAAUCCUAAGGUGAGCGAGAGAACUCUCGUUAAGGAACUCGGCAAAAUGACCCCGUAACUUCGGGAGAAGGGGUGCUGAUCGUCAGAUCAGCCGCAGUGAAUAGGCCCAAGCGACUGUUUAUCAAAAACACAGGUCUCUGCAAAAUCGUAAGAUGAAGUAUAGGGGCUGACGCCUGCCCGGUGCUGGAAGGUUAAGAGGAGUGCUUAGCGUA
rnacentral:rRNA from 1 species